rnacentral:rRNA from 1 species
GCCAGCAGCCAUAUCACCCUGAAACUCUCAACUGGCAACCCCCAGAAGCUCAGUAGGUGUGAGCCUGCUCAGUACCUGGAUGGGAGACCUCCUGGGAAAAACUAAGGUUGCUUCUGGAA